rnacentral:sRNA from 1 species
AUGGACUUCAGCCUUCUGGUAGUAUAAGGCAAAAUCAACUAUUUCCUCCUUAGAUUGUUUUUGGUUGUGGUGUUUUAUCACAGCCACAGAAAAGUAACAACAAUCUGCUAGGAAAGGCAUUGUUGAGGUCACAAUAGCUUCUCCAGGCACAUGUCACUGAAGUCAUCAUAGGACGAGUGCUGGGCUAAACCCAACAUUUCAGGACGUUCAUGGUAACUAUAUGAACCAGACAACCAGAGUUGAUGAGGACUGCUGGCCCUUAUCCAGGUUUUGAUGGGUGUCCCUUGAUGAAUUCAAAUUGGACUAAGAAGACAUUGAGAAGUUUUUCCAUGAGUUUCAAGUGCUGGUGGUGAUUUGACAUCAGUCUGCAUCUUGUCUUUUGCUAAACUAGAGCUCACAGUGUUAGACACACUGACCAGUCUCUCUCCAGAGCCCACUGUGCUUCGAUGAAUGUGCUGCCAUCUCCAGCUUUCAUCCGGUUCUCUCCAGGGCCUCAUUAGCAUUCUCGUCAUCUGCCAAAGUCGGCUCUUCCUUGGCAAGAACAAAGCAGAACCUUCAUCUUAUCUGCAGGAGAACACCAGGGUUCAGUUUCCUCUGUUCACUUGAUGCUGAGAAGAGCCUCAGUCCAGGGCACUGUGCCAGCUUGUGCUAAAAACCAGCCUAGGAGCUUCGAGCAGCAACCUGAGCGGCCUGUGGAGCCAGGCUGCAUUCCCAGCUGCAAACAGCCCUGCAAAAUGACUCCGAGGAGGAGGUUGGAGAAAGGAGUGCACCGUGACCAGAUUAGCAACUGUGGGUAUUCACCUGAGCAAAAGGUCAGGAUUCAAAGAUGGAGGACCUCUGCCUUCUAGUAGUCAGAACACUGUGUUUUUCUCAUCUGUAGGGUGGGAAGCCCAUUAAGCUCUCUCUUUUCUCACAACACAGGGCUGUUGUGAGGAUGGUGAUGAAGUAAACAGGGCUGUGGUAAGCAGAGCAUCCUGAAGUAGAGACAUGUAUGCCUCACCUUGAGCCAGCUGAGAAGCAGAGAAGGGAAAACAGGAAGGGACCAGGCCAAGAUGUAAGGCCACGCCCCCACGGGCCUGCUUCCUCUUAUCAGCCCUCACUUCCUGCCUUUUGCGGUCACCGAAUACUGCUGCCACAUUGUGACUCCAUAAGGAGUGAAAUAGCGUCUCGUCUCGGCCUUUUAGCUAAGAUCAUGUGUAACAUCAGGAGUGAAUCCAUUGAUUGGGUCAGGAUCCCCAGGAUCCGGUCACUUCCCCAAAGUCCCUAGUCAUUUUUCUAUUGCUGUAAUAAAACGCCCUAACCAAAGAAGACGUUUAAUUUUUCUUAGUUCCAGAGAAUGAGAGAGGCUACAGUGAGGGAGCAGAAGAGCUGAGAAUUCAAAUCUCGAUCCACAAGCAGGAGGCAGAAAGUGCACUGGAGCGUCAAAGCCCUCGGCAGCAGCACUUUCCCAACAAACCCGUACC